GAUGAACGCUGGCGGCGUGCCUAAUACAUGCAAGUCGAGCGAACGGACGAGAAGCUUGCUUCUCUGAUGUUAGCGGCGGACGGGUGAGUAACACGUGGAUAACCUACCUAUAAGACUGGGAUAACUUCGGGAAACCGGAGCUAAUACCGGAUAAUAUUUUGAACCGCAUGGUUCAAAAGUGAAAGACGGUCUUGCUGUCACUUAUAGAUGGAUCCGCGCUGCAUUAGCUAGUUGGUAAGGUAACGGCUUACCAAGGCAACGAAGCAUAGCCGACCUGAGAGGAUGAUCGGCCACACUGGAACUGAGACACGGUCCAGACUCCUACGGGAGGCAGCAGUAGGGAAUCUUCCGCAAUGGGCGAAAGCCUGACGGAGCAACGCCGCGUGAGUGAUGAAGGUCUUCGGAUCGUAAAACUCUGUUAUUAGGGAAGAACAUAUGUGUAAGUAACUGUGCACAUCUUGACGGUACCUAAUCAGAAAGCCACGGCUAACUACGUG
rnacentral:rRNA from 1 species